GAUACGUGCCUUUUGAUUUCCAUCACCACUGUGGGAGCUCAAACUUCGAUAAUUUGAAAAUCCUCUAUGAUCAAAUUUCAGAGGAUUUUGAAAAACAAAGGGGAUGAAAAAAAAUCAAGAAUUCUAUUCAAAUUCAAUAGGUGGCUGCCACAAUCCAUAUAUGCUGGCACUCUAUAAUUCAGAUUUUUAAUCAUUGCUAUUUCAGCUGAGCAGAUACUUCAUGAUAGAUAGAGAAGGAAAUAUAUCAGAGGAGCAGAGAGGAAUUAUUAGGGCAAACUGCAUCGACUCCCUUGAUCGAACAAAUGUUACUCAG
rnacentral:lncRNA from 1 species